rnacentral:rRNA from 1 species
UACGUAGGGUGCGAGCGUUGUCCGGAAUUACUGGGCGUAAAGAGCUCGUAGGUGGUUUGUCGCGUUGUUCGUGAAAACUCACAACUCAAUUGUGGGCGUGCGGGCGAUACGGGCAGACUGGAGUACUGCAGGGGAGACUGGAAUUCCUCGUGUAGCGGUGGAAUGCGCAGAUAUCAGGAGGAACACCGGUGGCGAAGGCGGGUCUCUGGGCAGUAACUGACGCUGAGGAGCGAAGGCCAGGGGAGCAAACGGG